rnacentral:ncRNA from 1 species
CCCACCGGUAGAGUGAGCGGGUCGUCAUCAUGCCCGUACGGGGGGAAGCCGGUGCGAAUCCGGCGCUGACCCCGCAACCGUGAACCGCCGUCUUCCCGGCGGUGAGCCGGAUCGCCCCGUACGCGCACGUGUUCG